GACGAACGCUGGCGGCGUGCCUAAUACAUGCAAGUCGAGCGCAGGAAAUCAUCCGAACCCUUCGGGGGGACGUUGAUGGAAUGAGCGGCGGACGGGUGAGUAACACGUAAAGAACCUGCCCUCAGGUCUGGGAUAACCACGAGAAAUCGGGGCUAAUACCGGAUGGGUCAUCGGACCGCAUGGUCCGAGGAUGAAAGGCGCUUCGGCGUCGCCUGGGGAUGGCUUUGCGGUGCAUUAGCUAGUUGGUGGGGUAAUGGCCCACCAAGGCGACGAUGCAUAGCCGACCUGAGAGGGUGAUCGGCCACACUGGGACUGAGACACGGCCCAGACUCCUACGGGAGGCAGCAGUAGGGAAUCUUCCACAAUGGACGAAAGUCUGAUGGAGCAACGCCGCGUGAACGAUGAAGGCCUUCGGGUCGUAAAGUUCUGUUGUAAGGGAAGAACAAGUGCCGCAGGCAAUGGCGGCACCUUGACGGUACCUUGCGAGGAAGCCACGGCUAACUACGUGCCAGCCGCCGCAGUAAUAC
rnacentral:rRNA from 1 species